AAUCAACGCUGGCGGCGUGCCUCAGACAUGCAAGUCGAACGAUUAAAGCUCUCUUCGGAGAGUGCAUAAAGUGGCGCACGGGUGAGUAACACGUAAGUAAUCUACCUUCGAGUGGGGAAUAACUCAGGGAAACUUGAGCUAAUACCGCAUAACGCAGCGGCAUCUUCGGAUGACAGUUGUUAAAGAUUUAUCGCUUGAAGAGGAGCUUGCGGCAGAUUAGCUAGUUGGUAAGGUAACGGCUUACCAAGGCAACGAUCUGUAUCCGGUCUAAGAGGACGGUCGGACACACUGACACUGAAUAACGGGUCACACUCCUACGGGAGGCAGCAGUCGGGAAUUUUGGGCAAUGGGCGCAAGCCUGACCCAGCAACGCCGCGUGAAGGAUGAAGUUUUUCGGAAUGUAAACUUCGUAAGAAUAGGAAGAAUAAAUGACGGUACUAUUUGUAAGGUCCGGCUAACUACGUGCCAGCAGCCGCGGUAAUACGUAGGGACCAAGCGUUGUUCGUAUUUACUGGGCGUAAAGGGCGCGUAGGCGGCAAUUCAAGUCAGCUGUGAAAUCUCCGGGCUUAACUCGGAACGGUCAGCUGAUACUGCUUUGCUAGAGUGCAGAAGGGGCAAUCGGAAUUCUUGGUGUAGCGGUGAAAUGCGUA
rnacentral:rRNA from 1 species